GACGAACGCUGGCGGCGUGCUUAACACAUGCAAGUCGAACGAAGAGCGAUGGAAGCUUGCUUCUAUCACUCUUAGUGGCGAACGGGUGAGUAACGCGUAAUCAACCUGCCCUUCAGAGGGGGACAACAGUUGGAAACGACUGCUAAUACCGCAUACGAUCUAAUCUCGGCAUCGAGGAUAGAUGAAAGGUGGCCUCUACAUGUAAGCUAUCACUGAAGGAGGGGAUUGCGUCUGAUUAGCUAGUUGGAGGGGUAACGGCCCACCAAGGCGAUGAUCAGUAGCCGGUCUGAGAGGAUGAACGGCCACAUUGGGACUGAGACACGGCCCAGACUCCUACGGGAGGCAGCAGUGGGGAAUCUUCCGCAAUGGACGAAAGUCUGACGGAGCAACGCCGCGUGAGUGAUGACGGCCUUCGGGUUGUAAAGCUCGGUUAAUCGGGACGAAAGGCCUUCUUGCGAAUAGUGAGAAGGAUUGACGGUACCGGAAUAGAAAGCCACGGCUAACUACGUG
rnacentral:rRNA from 1 species